AGCAGCGUGGCUCAGUGGAAGAGAGCCCGGGCUUCGGAGUCAGGGGUCACGGGUUCGACUCCCGCCUCUGCCA
rfam:Ornithorhynchus anatinus chromosome 5, whole genome shotgun sequence.